CUCUCUCUUUCGGGCGGAGUCGCCCACCACUGCCAGCCCAGCGCUGGGGGGACCUGCUCCAGGCUGUAGCCGCAGGACCGCCUGCUGCACGUGAGCGAGUGCAUGGGCACCGUGGACGUGCGCGUCGUGCGCAGCUCGGGCGCGCGCGGCACCGUGCGCCUUCCCUACCGCACGGUGGACGGCACGGCGCGCGGCGGCGGCGUGCACUACGAGGACGCGUGCGGAGAGCUGGAGUUUGGCGACGACGAGACCAUGAAAACUCUUCAGGUGAAGAUAGUUGAUGACGAGGAAUAUGAGAAAAAGGAUAAUUUCUUCAUUGAGCUGGGCCAGCCCCAGUGGCUUAAGCGAGGGAUUUCAGCUCUGCUACUCAAUCAAGGGGAUGGGGACAGGAAGCUAACAGCCGAGGAGGAGGAGGCUCGGAGGAUAGCAGAGAUGGGCAAGCCAGUUCUUGGGGAAAACUGCCGGCUGGAGGUCAUCAUCGAGGAGUCAUAUGAUUUUAAGAACACGGUGGAUAAACUCAUCAAGAAAACGAACUUGGCCUUGGUAAUUGGGACCCAUUCAUGGAGGGAGCAGUUUUUAGAGGCAAUUACGGUGAGCGCAGGGGACGAGGAGGAGGAGGAGGACGGGUCCCGGGAGGAGCGGCUGCCGUCGUGCUUUGACUACGUGAUGCACUUCCUGACGGUGUUCUGGAAGGUGCUCUUUGCCUGUGUGCCCCCCACCGAGUACUGCCACGGCUGGGCCUGCUUUGGCGUCUCCAUCCUGGUCAUCGGCCUGCUCACCGCCCUCAUUGGGGACCUCGCCUCCCACUUCGGCUGCACCGUUGGCCUCAAGGACUCUGUCAAUGCUGUUGUCUUCGUUGCCCUGGGCACCUCCAUCCCUGACACGUUCGCCAGCAAGGUGGCGGCGCUGCAGGACCAGUGCGCCGACGCUUCCAUCGGCAACGUGACCGGCUCCAACGCGGUGAACGUGUUCCUGGGCCUGGGCGUCGCCUGGUCUGUGGCUGCCGUGUACUGGGCGGUGCAGGGCCGCCCCUUCGAGGUGCGCACUGGCACGCUGGCCUUCUCCGUCACGCUCUUCACCGUCUUCGCCUUCGUGGGCAUUGCCGUGCUGCUGUACCGGCGCCGGCCGCACAUCGGCGGCGAGCUGGGCGGCCCGCGCGGACCCAAGCUCGCCACCACCGCGCUCUUCCUGGGCCUCUGGCUCCUGUACAUCCUCUUCGCCAGCCUGGAGGCGUACUGCCACAUCCGGGGCUUCUAGGGCCUCGCGCAGAGACUCGUCCCCACAGCCCGCCCGGGGCUAGGGACUCGGCUGCACCUGCUCUUGGACCCUGGUCUCCUUUUCCCCCCAGACUCGGCCUCCUCUCCUGGGACCCGGCCUCCCUUCUCCGCCCCCUCCCCUGGCUUUGAUUGCCCCUGUUCUGUGUCCCCAGUAGCUCAGCCUUCCCUCUUCCUCUCGGGAGCCUCCCCGGUUCCUCCCCUGCGGUGACCCCAACUCCAGCCCAUCCUGUUGGUGACCGUCUAUAUCCCUGGGGAAAUUUCCACCCCAGUCCCCUCCCCAGGGAACCACCCCCAGUAACCAUCCUGGGGAGUUUAAGGUCUCUCUCCUUG
rnacentral:sRNA from 1 species